rnacentral:tRNA from 1 species
GGGGUUAUAGUUCAUUGACAGAGCACUUGCCUACUAUGCAAGAGAAACUGGGUUCAAACCCCAAUACCA